CCCUCCCUUGUUUACUUGGAAAUAUUUUCAGAAAUCAGAUAAAAAGCCUCAAACGGACAUCACAUUUGGUAUUUCAACAAAAAAAGAUGCCAGACAUGCUUGUCUGAAUCAAAAUCUAAAAUCAAGGGGCACGAGUUCUACAUAAAAAGUCGCAGAAUUUAAGAUAAAACACUCAAAUUGAAGAGAACGGAUAAUAAAUGAAAAGGGAUAGAUAUAUUUCAACGAGGUCAUCAGAUAGGACCGAAAGACACCGAAAGACUAAAAGGUUUUGUAAUAAUCACAGAGAUUAUCAGUUUGUGAUCACAGCUUCAUCAUUCGUGACAAUAUACCAGUUCUUUCAUCAAUGGCAACAGCAUCGAAAAGAAAUUAUGAAAAACUGACAACCAAAAACAUAGCUUGAAGCAGAAACGGGCAAGAAAUUCAUAAAAGAUUCGGCCUCAUAGAGAAGAUUAGAUUUAUCAACACACAUAGUUUCAGACAUAUGCUUGUCUUUGAAUUUUUGUUUAAUCAUCGGCCGAACAACUUCCAAAACAAAAAGAAAAAUAAGAAAAAGGGACUCGGCCAGUGUGAAAUUUCUUUUUCAUGCCAAGAUCGGACCUUCUUAUCCUCUCUUUUUAACUUGUCUAUCUCAUAAUUAGUUUGUUGCCAUAGCUAUAAGACGAGACCAUUCCUUAAUUACUUGGAAAUUGAUAAUCUUUUAACAAAAUAUUAGCGCCAUAGGUUAUUCUGAGAUCUUUUUCCAAAUCCUCCACCUCCUCCAAUUUCUCUUCUGCAUUCACAAGCUGGAGGUGAUGUUCUUCUAAAUGGGUUUGUUUAUAAAAAACCAAAAAAGAACAAACUUUUUAAGAAGUCAUUAUUCGGAUGGGACUCAGAAUAUGGGUGGUGAUAUAUCAGGAUGGUCGGCAAGGCCUUUAAAGAGCCAAUUACGACGAACGAGACCAUUGAUACAAAUCAUCAUUGUCCCUCCCUUAUUUACUUGGAAAUAUUUUCAGAGACCAGCUAAAAAGCCUCAAACGGACAUUAAAUUUGGUUUUUCGACACAAGAUGCCAGACAUGUUUGCCUGAAUCAAAAACUAAAAACAAGGGGCACAAGUUCUACAUAAAAAGUCGAAGAAAAUAAGAUAAAACAUUCUAAAUGAAGAAAACGAGUAAUGAAAAAUAAAGGACAAAUAUAUUUCAGCGAGGUCAUCAGAUAGGAGCGAAAGACUAAAAGGUUUUGUAUAAUCACAGAGAUUAUCAGUUGAACUAUGCUUGUAAUCAUCAUAUGACCAAGUUUUUUCAAUCUAAAACAGAUCUAAUACACAAACAAUAAACAAAUUGGGGGAUCAAGAUCUUAUGCAAAUCAUAUAAAAACAGGGCCUCAGAAGGAAGGCAGUAGUGGUAAGUUUGUAAUCACAGCUUCAUCAUUCGUGACAAAUAUACCAGUUCUUUCAUCAAUGGCAACAGCAUCGAAAAGAGAUAAUGAAAAACUGACAGCCAAAAACAUAGCUUAAAGCAGAAACGGGCAAGAAAUUCAUAAAAGAUUCGGCCUCAUAGAGAAGAUUAGAUUUAUCAACACACAGAGUUUCAGACAUAUGCUUGUCUUUGAAUUUUUGUUUAAUCAUCGGCCGACCAACUAUCAUGACCAAAAAGAAAGAGUAGCAGAAAAUAAGAAAAAGGGCCUCGGAAUAUAUCAGGAUGGUCGUCAAGGCCUUUAAAGAGCCAGUUACGACGAACGAGACCUUUCAAGAUGAAAUCGUCAAUGCCCCUUAAUCAUUUUCAGCCGGAAAAAAAACAUAAAUAGAUGAAAUUCCUAAGGCGACAAUACUAAGUAAAAUGAACCCUAAACCACGAAAGAACCAGAUAUUGACAAACAGGAUGCCUUGGAGACUCUUUAUAAAGAGUGGCGGUGAAGGACAAUUAGGGUUUCAGGCGGUUUUAUAGGAGCUGGGGAGAACAGAAGAACGACCAAGCGUUUUAGGUUUACUCUUCUCUGUGCAAUUUACGGCCAAAGGCCUAAGGUACACAGAACAAACGGAAGCUUAUGUUGGGCUGGCUGGGAGGGUGAAAACUUAGCAGGUCCAAACUGACUAUGUUGGCAUCUGGGAGAUUGGGCUAAGUCCAGUAGAAAUUUGUUGCCCCAUCGACUCCAUUUCAGAUUUUUAUCAGCCUUCAGGUCGUUGAUCUUGUUAGAAAAUUAUUUUAAAAUUAGGGUUAGUGGAACAAAUUAAAAAUGAGGUGCAUUAUUUUAUGAUUAAAACUUUACUAGAAAUUAUUUUUUAACAAUAAUUUUCUUAACAUAAAAUAUUAAUAUAUUUAAAAUAAAUUGUGGAUAAAUAAAAAAUUGAUCUCAAAUAAUUUUUAAUUUACAUGUUUUUAUAAAACUUAAAAUUAUCUUUAUCUAUCUCACAUCGAAAAAAUAUAAGGUUUAAGCUUGUAUAAUAAGAAGUUCAAGAAUUAAAAAUAGACCUACAAAGUACCAAAAAGUUUCAUAAAAAAAAUGAUAUGAGUAAAAUGAACUUUAGGCUUAAGUCAUGUGUAUUUGCUUGCUUGACCUAUUUAAAGUUGAGGUUGGCUAGAUCUAACUUUGUUAUAUUUUUUAGUAUUAAAUAAAUCUAAGUCUUAUAUUAUGCAAAUUAUAUUUAAUUAAACUAGUAAUCAAUACUACAAAACUCAUUUUUACUUUUAAAUAAAACUACCAAAACAGGCCUAAAAGAAUAUUCUUUAAACAGAUCCUUAAAUCAAAAAAAAAAUUAGCAAAAAGAUUGCAAGAUAAAAGAGUCUUAGCCAAACAGACUAAAGUCUAUAAAUUUAUUUAAAUUAUACUAUCAAAUAAGAUAUAAAAUUUUAUAUUUAAACAUUAAAAUAAGCUUUUUAUUCUAAUUCUUUACUUUACUCAUUUCUUUUAGACUUCUUGGUUGAUCUUUUCAUGAAAUUAGAUUUUAGUUGAUUUCUUCAUGAAAUUUACUGCAUUGCGCUUGUUAAUAUGUUUUUCAGCAUAAAAAAAAUAUUUAAAACUUACUCUUAACAAAUCAUAUUAUUAGUUUAUUUUUUAUUUUAUUGUUAUAAUUAAAGUAUAUAAAACAUGAAUGUAUACCUUUAAAAUUCAACAAAACUAAGAUUUCAUAAUUUGGCAAAUGUAAUUUCAGCCGAACUAUAAAAUGUUAAAUGUAAUUCUCUCUCUUGGCUAGGAACCCAUCCUAUUCUCCAGUAUUCUGCAUAAUCAUGUGUUCUUCGGUUUGCAACAUUCCAAAUGAAGUUUCAUAAUCCUUGAGCUUUUUGAGAUGUCAUUGUUGCUUGAUGUUGUACGACCUCCAAGGUCGCCAUGUGUACAUUCCUAGCUUGAGGAAAGACCAUCAUUAGAACUCUGCCAGUGUGACAUUUCUUUUUCAUGCCAAGAUCGGACCUUCUCAUCCUCUAUCUCACUAUUAGUUUGUUGUCAUAGCUUUACAAGACGAGUCUAUUCCUUCAUGGCAAAUUGAUCAUCUUUUUCCAACUUCUUAUCAGCACCAUAGGUUAUUCUGAGAUCGUUUUCCAAAUCCUUCACUUCGUCCAAUUUCUCUUCUGCGUUCAAAAGCUGGAGGUGAUGUUCUUCUAAAUGGGUUUGUUUAUAAAAUAUAUAUAUUUUUAAAAAAAGAACAAGCUUGUUUUGAAGUGAUUAUUCGGAUGGGACUCAGAAUAUGGGUGGUGAUAUAUCAGGAUGGUCGGCAAGGCCUUUAAAGAGCCAAUUACGACGAACGAGACCAUUGAUACAAAUCAUCAUUGCCCCUCCCUUGUUUACUUGGAAAUAUUUUCAGAAAUCAGAUAAAAAGCCUCAAACGGACAUCACAUUUGGUAUUUCAACAAAAAAAGAUGCCAGACAUGCUUGUCUGAAUCAAAAUCUAAAAUCAAGGGGCACGAGUUCUACAUAAAAAGUCGCAGAAUUUAAGAUAAAACACUCAAAUUGAAGAGAACGGAUAAUAAAUGAAAAGGGAUAGAUAUAUUUCAACGAGGUCAUCAGAUAGGACCGAAAGACACCGAAAGACUAAAAGGUUUUGUAAUAAUCACAGAGAUUAUCAGUUUGUGAUCACAGCUUCAUCAUUCGUGACAAUAUACCAGUUCUUUCAUCAAUGGCAACAGCAUCGAAAAGAAAUUAUGAAAAACUGACAACCAAAAACAUAGCUUGAAGCAGAAACGGGCAAGAAAUUCAUAAAAGAUUCGGCCUCAUAGAGAAGAUUAGAUUUAUCAACACACAUAGUUUCAGACAUAUGCUUGUCUUUGAAUUUUUGUUUAAUCAUCGGCCGAACAACUUCCAAAACAAAAAGAAAAAUAAGAAAAAGGGACUCGGCCAGUGUGAAAUUUCUUUUUCAUGCCAAGAUCGGACCUUCUUAUCCUCUCUUUUUAACUUGUCUAUCUCAUAAUUAGUUUGUUGCCAUAGCUAUAAGACGAGACCAUUCCUUAAUUACUUGGAAAUUGAUAAUCUUUUAACAAAAUAUUAGCGCCAUAGGUUAUUCUGAGAUCUUUUUCCAAAUCCUCCACCUCCUCCAAUUUCUCUUCUGCAUUCACAAGCUGGAGGUGAUGUUCUUCUAAAUGGGUUUGUUUAUAAAAAACCAAAAAAGAACAAACUUUUUAAGAAGUCAUUAUUCGGAUGGGACUCAGAAUAUGGGUGGUGAUA
rnacentral:lncRNA from 1 species